rnacentral:rRNA from 1 species
GACGAACGCNGGCGGCGUGCCUAAUACAUGCAAGUAGAACGCUGAAGGAGGAGCUUGCUCUUCUGGAUGAGUUGCGAACGGGUGAGUAACGCGUAGGUAACCUGCCUGGUAGCGGGGGAUAACUAUUGGAAACGAUAGCUAAUACCGCAUAACAUUGACUAUUGCAUGAUAGUCAAUUGAAAGGUGCAAAUGCACCACUACCAGAUGGACCUGCGUUGUAUUAGCUAGUUGGUGGGGUAACGGCCCACCAAGGCUACGAUACAUAGCCGACCUGAGAGGGUGAUCGGCCACACUGGGACUGAGACACGGCCCAGACUCCUACGGGAGGCAGCAGUAGGGAAUCUUCGGCAAUGGACGGAAGUCUGACCGAGCAACGCCGCGUGAGUGAAGAAGGUUUUCGGAUCGUAAAGCUCUGUUGUAAGAGAAGAACGAGUGUGAGAGUGGAAAGUUCACACNGNGGCG